GUUCUCCCUUUCGCCUACAGGGGGAGCUCCUCGAAGGCAGGGCAGGUGUGUCUCUGCCCAGGCCAAGUGCUUUGCAAACAACCUCGUAAAGUAGUCCAGCUAGGACCUCUACGUCACAGAUGAGACGACUGAGGCCCAGAGAAAGACACACAGCUUUGGUGCUCUUUGAAUCAUCUCUGUGUCCCUCCCACCCGCACCGGAUGCCUUCCACUAACAGCUGAACCGGUGGGUAAACUGAAGCCCAAAGAAGGGGAAAGAGCUGGACUCAGUUCUCACAGUUACCCUUUGACAAAUGCUGCCUAAAAGUCACCACGUUAUUCCUGAUUCAAGAUACGACCAUCCCGAAGGAACGCAUCCCAGGGCUCCUUCCAGAUAGCGACUACCUGAAGCCCAGCUCGGGAUGCAGCCCUCGGUACCUGAGCCAUAUCUAGGGCGCCCAUGACCGCAGCGAAGCUGAACAUGUUGCCCAUGGUCCCCCGGAGUUCCGCCGCCAGCUGGAUGGUCUUGUGCAGAAGCGCUGCCCGCUCCUCGGCGGAGCCCGUGCAGCCCAGGAUGUCCACGGCCAGCAUGAUGGACAUGGUGUGGAACCUGUCAGAGCCGCCAGGGACGUGUGUACUCAUGACAAAUCAGCGAGCCUGGGAUUAGGGAGGAAUUUGUGACAAGCUGUGUAGACGACACUGUACCAGAGCACCUGCAGCCAAAGGUUCCUUCCAGAAUGCCCGCGGGCCUCCCUGCAUGCUUUGCCUGCCAUGUGGACAGUAUGCACUAUGGCCUGUUAAAACCACUGUUGUUUUUUACUUUCAGAAAUGAAGUAGUAGCAUGUUUCUAGAACAGGAAUUUUCUUUGUAUUUAAAAAAAAAAAAGGCCGCAGUAUUCUA